rnacentral:tRNA from 1 species
UUAAGUAUAGUUUAAUUAAAAUAUUAACUUGUCGUGUUAAAGAGAUAUAAAUAUGUUACUUAAU